UGUGAUGUCAGAAUUAUGCUUUUCAGCCUGU
rnacentral:piRNA from 1 species